AAUGAACGCUGGCGGCGCGCCUAAUACAUGCAAGUCGAGCGAGAAGACGUAGCAAUACGCUUGUAAAGCGGCGAACGGGUGAGGAAUACAUGGGUAACCUACCCUAGAGUGGGGAAUAACUAGCCGAAAGGUUAGCUAAUACCGCGUACGCUCCUUGGACUUCGGUUCAGGGAGGAAAGCGAUGCCGAGGGUAUCGCGCUCUUGGAUGGGCUCAUGUCCUAUCAGCUUGNGGUGAGGUAACGGCUCACCAAGGCUUCGACGGGUAGCUGGUCUGAGAGGACGAUCAGCCACACUGGCACUGCGACACGGGCCAGACUCCUACGGGAGGCAGCAGUAAGGAAUAUUGCGCAAUGGGCGAAAGCCUGACGCAGCGACGCCGCGUGGGGGAUGAAGGUCUUCGGAUU
rnacentral:rRNA from 1 species